GCACUGUUGUUUUGGUGAUCCCAAUCCUCACACCUUCAGAGGACUCUGCAUCUCAAAAGUCUUCAAGCAAUCUCUGAAACCUUUGUCAUCCCCGAAUGCUUCAAUCCUCCUGUCCCCCUCUCCUGAAUAUACAUCCUGGGCUUCAACCUACUUACUAAGUCUUCAAUGGAUCAGUAGAAACUAAAUCUUGACCUCUACUGUAAAAGUGUGGCGUAAUGAGAGGCAUGGAAAGAAGAGUGUAUCCGACAGGCUGCCAACACCCAAAUGGAAGAGAGGAGGGAAACAUAAAGAAGGGCUAAGGAAAGACAUCUGACUUCCAGCAGCCGCCAGAAGCCACUGAAGUUUUGAAAAGUCAAGUUUUGUCAAACCCAAGUGAAUGCUGACAUGUAUGUGGUACAGAAAUAAAGGAGAAAGCUAAACAACA